AGUGGAAUUCCAUGUGUAGCAGUGAAAUGCGUAGAGAUGUGGAAGAACACCGAUGGCGAAGGCAGCUCCCUGGGUUGACACUGACGCUCAUGCACGAAAGCGUGGGGAGCAAACAGGAUUAGAUACCCUGGUAGUCCACGCCCUAAACGAUGUCAACUGGUUGUCGGAUCUAAUUAAGGAUUUGGUAACGUAGCUAACGCGUGAAGUUGACCGCCUGGGGAGUACGGUCGCAAGAUUAAAACUCAAAGGAAUUGACGGGGACCCGCACAAGCGGUGGAUUAUGUGGAUUAAUUCGAUGCAACGCGAAAAACCUUACCUACCCUUGACAUGCUUGGAAUCUAAUGGAGACAUAAGAGUGCCCGAAAGGGAGCCAAGACACAGGUGCUGCAUGGCUGUCGUCAGCCCGUGUCGUGAGAUGUUGGGUUAAGUCCCGCAACGAGCGCAACCCUUGUCACUAAUUGCUAUCAUUUUUAAUGAGCACUUUAGUGAGACUGCCGGUGACAAACCGGAGGAAGGUGGGGAUGACGUCAAGUCCUCAUGGCCCUUA
rnacentral:rRNA from 1 species